AUUUGUAUUUUCUGUCAACUCAUGCAUACGUGCGGCCUUCAGGUUCGAAUCAAACUGUUUUCAUGUCAAUCUGAUAACUUACCGUGAUACGCAAAGAUAACACAGCAAGAAUUCGUCAGUUGUGUGUAUUUACUCAGUGCAGAAACAAUACAACCUAAAAAUAUGUGAAACCACGUGGAAACACAACAUUUCCUUGCUAUUCUAUCAAAAUAUUCGCCAAAACGCAAAAAUAAUACAAGAAGACGAGAAAAGAGAAAUAAAUAUGUUACAAUAUGGUUGGAUCUAUGUACAAAAUCAAAAAUAAAAUACAAAAACGGAAUGUACAAAGUCAAUGUGUGUGUGUGUCAGUGUGUGUCGCUUAAAUAAUAAACUCAUAAUUUAAAUAAUAAACGAUCACUGGCCGUGUGGUUGCGCGCGUUUCUGGUUAAUCUGCGCUGCUACAAGUUUUCACUCACGAUGUGAACACGCGUGAGAAUUUGAAAGUUCCAGACGCUGCUCACCGCUGGACGUUAUUGAGUCACGAUUUAAUUUUCAUUCAAUGGACGCAUAAAAAUCAUCUCUACCGUGUACCGAAGAUAACAAUGGUAGCGCCAUCGUCGAGGGUUAUUAAAUCACUGGGGGUACACAUUGGAAUUAUUUAAAUACAGCCGUUCUAUGACCGCAUGUGUGAUGGUAUAAGCACAUCGCCGAAGAUGUACAAGGUUUCUGCAGUAAAAUAAGGGAAAAAAACGUCGGUACAUCAUUUGGAAGGUAAAAGAAAUGUUUUCUCUGGCCUCGCAAAGAACAAGAUAAGAUGAAGAAUCGCAGCCUGAAGUCGAAACACCGUCGUGGCAGUCAGUGGCAGCCGCAGCGUGGCCGAAGAAGAAUGGAUUCUGUUGGCGGAUUUCGUUGGAUUUCCCGAAAAACUUUCUGCCUCCGGUGUACGUGUACCUGUACGUGAUCUUCGCGGCAAUGUUGCAGCUAGCUGGAGCAGCUUUGCGGCUAGUUUCGAGCAGCGACAUUCCUUUCGAAACGUCGGGUCGGCGCGGCCCCGGCCUGGCCCGUGGGAACCGAAGCCUUCUUCGCCUUCUGCGCGCUGCCUCCUCUCUGCCUCCUGCUCGCGCGACUUGUUGCGCUACCUAUUCUCACUCCCGUGCGUCCGCACCGCUCUCGCUCUUCUUUUCGCCGCGAAUAAAAUUUACAAGCAAAAAAAAAACAACGCGCAACACAUACACAUACGGAGAAAACCGCAUCGAACGCACUUUCAAAUUGUGUACGGACAAGUAACGAGAAGCAAGCGUAAUAUAUUGUGAAAUUUU